GGGCAGGGGCGUUGUUUGCUUGUUUAAUUUACUAGUGUGUAUACGUACAUCUAUGCCUGGUGCCUGUGCGUGCGUGCAUGUGUGUGUGUGUGUGUGUGUAGGCGCCUGGUUUAGAACAUCCAAAACCAUGAGGCAAAAUAAGUCUUUCCUCUUCAACUACACUUGAUCUUAAGCCAAAGGCCAAGAGACAAUCCCAUUGUCUUCAUAAAUUUGUCAGGCAUUUGUUACAGUGAUCUAACUAACACAAUUCUCCAGGGUAAACUGAGGAACUAGACUGAAUUUGGAGAGGGGCUAAAAGGUGAAGCCUUCAUAUGACCAGCUGCUCUAGAGACAGCUCCCGGGACCAGGGCUGUCCGAAUUGGCACACGUGAGUGCGUGUGCUGACACUAUCCAUAGCCAUCUAUACUUCAUGCUUAACCGUGCAUCCUGCGUUUGAUCGGGCAGUCCUCUGUGGAUGGAUGGAGCACUGCGCUGCUUGGACAGGUUAUAAACCACCUCUAUAUUUUCUUCUUUUCUUCUACAUCAGUCUUGCUGCCCUAAGUUGAAUGCCACAGUCAGCAACAAGCCAUUGAGCUUUGUUCUCAGCCUCUGUCCUAGGCUGCCAAGACACAACUGCCAAUUCAAACAAUUCCACCUCUUACCUCCAGAGUCCCAGCCCCUGAAAAUGAGUUGUCCAAAGGAGCAACCCACUGAAUCCAGCUGUGACCCACUCACCUCUGCUGAUUCACCAGCCUUGGACUGAACCUCCUACACCUGAGCCUUCAGCACUCAAUACCCAACACCGCAGAUGGCAGGCACGUGAGCCCAGAGACACAGAAAAGACACCAUGACUGUGGGUCCCUUUCAGCACUUCACACAGCCGACAUCUCCUUAAUUCUGCCUCAGCCGACUUCUGCAGCUACCCGUUCCCAGCCUAUCACUUCACACUCAUAAAUAUCAGAGAUGCUUCCAUUUCCCCACUAUUUCUACAGAGUGGGCUGAAGCUCUGGCUUUAUCAUGACCUGGCUGAGUGUCCCUUGCCUUAUUCUCUCUGUGUGAUCUCAGAUACUCUGAAGGCUCUAUUGAAGGCUUGAUUCCCAUCCAACUCGUGUUCAUCGUUCAUUAAUUCAC
rnacentral:lncRNA from 1 species